GAUGAAGAACGUAGCGAAACGCGAUAGUUAAUGUGAAUUGCAGAAUUCAGUGAAUCAUCGAGUCUUUGAACGCACAUUGCGCCCAUUGGUAUUCCGUUGGGCAUGUCUGUUUGAGCGUCAUUACAACAGUUCAGCGUAAGCUGGUUAUGAGUUCUGUUUUUUUAAACAAAAAACAGGCUUUAAAAUGUAUGUUCUGCAGGUCGCUUUGCUAAACCCUAAACAUUAAAUACUGUUUUAGUGAAGCAUUUGCGACUCUGCCUGAAAAAAAACUUUUGUUAAAGUUUGACCUCAGAUCAGACAAGGAUACCCGCUGAACUUAAGCAUAUCAAUAAGCGGAGGA
rnacentral:misc_RNA from 1 species